GCAUAUUGCUUGUUUCU
rnacentral:miRNA from 1 species